rnacentral:lncRNA from 1 species
GAAAAUUAGAUUCUGAGAAAUUAAGUACCCUGCCAAGUCAUUCUGGUGAAUGGUAGAGCUGAGUGUUGACUCUUGGUCAGCAAAGCUGAUGACCUUCUUACCAACAAUGCUGAACCGCAAGAUUGCCAGGGCCCUGACAUUGUUUCAGGGUAAAGAAGCCAGGAGACAACAUCAGAGGCAGGAGCUGUGCUGUAUUCAUCCUGAAAAGUUCUGGAGGAGGAAGCCACCUGCGGGUCUCUGAGUGGGUGGUGGGGGGCAGAUGGAAGUGGAGGGGCAAGGCUAAAACCUUAAGGAACUGCCUAUCAGUGAGCACUCCUGGGAGAAUCAGAACACUGGGAGGAAAGAGGUCAAGGAGACAGCCUUCCUGCCACGUAGAUAGAACAUUCUGGUGGAUGGAAAUUUCCACGAGUGCUUCAGCCUUUCUGCCUGGCUUACACAGAAAUGGAUCUUAGAGCUACUGGCCAGAAGAUCACCUUUACCAAAAGCAUCUUGCAGUCAUCCUCCUGUCCAAGCCGCCUUCCAGUAAGACUCACAAUGGAAGGUCCCCAACCUGGAGCAAGGAUACAAGCCAAGGGCUUUGAUCAACUCGGCCUUCCUGGGCCUCGGGGAGAGAGACGGACUGCCUCCGGGUGCUCAUGA